GCAGUGUAACAGCAAUGCAGCCGGGUGUGUGUGUGUGUGUGUCCGUCCCUGUGUGUGUUAUUAGUAGAAACAGCACUCGUGCUGGCGAUGGGACCUUGAUGCGUCCGAGGCUGCAGCAUCUCCUCUCUGCUACAUUUACCCACAAGCCCCUGUUUUCCUGCUGCACCUCUCCUCUCCGUCCUCUCCUCGUCUCUCCGUCCUGCUCUAGAGUCUGAGUUAUAAACCUGUCAACCCUCACAGACACAGAUAAGAGAUCAGCGUUGCAGAGCGGCGUUUGCAGAGCGGCGUUGCAGAGCCGCUCGGCUCGGCAGAGCGGUCUAAAGUUGAAGGUGAGCCCUUGAAGGACACGCUUCCUGUCGCAGUCCUGUCGUUUCCGGGUUUGCUGCUCAGGUGAUCGUCGGGGGGGCGGGGCUUGUGGAGGCUCCGGUAACAGAGGGAAUAAAAACUACCACACGCCCAGAGGUCAGUGCAGCUUCAGCUGCACCACCCCCCCCCCCCCCUGGAAAACAGCUGAUUCAGGCUCGGGCCACGAGGAUGCAACACAGAAACACAGAUGUGAAGGGAAAGUAGUGGAGGGAAGGGGGCCGGCGGAGAAGGAGGAAACCAGGAAGAGCUGCAACGUUCUGCAGGGACAAGGUGACUCCUGCAGCCCGACGCCCAGAGGACACGCUCACGUCAUUAAACCUGCACAUACUUUAAUCCAGGAGUCACAAUAAAGGCUUGAUGAGGAGGAAUCUUCCCUGCAAUCCUGUUAACAGUUACAGUAUUUAUGCUUCCCUCAGGAAACCUCACACAUCUUUAUUCUUUUGACCUUUUCUUUCUGGCUUCAGCACCCGGGGGUCAUGAAGAUGAGAGGUCUCACUGCAGAAUCCCCCCCUGAUGAGGCAGGAAACCCCCCAUCAUCACACACACUCAUAUCCCACCAGACAUGCAGUUAGUGUUUUGUCCCCCCAGAGAUCUCUGCCCGGACCCCAGGGGGGGGAGGACCCCAGGUUGGGAGACACUGCCCUACAGAGCUAUUGCUGAAUGGAAUUCUCUUCCGGGUUACAUUUCUAAAACCCAGAGCAAGAUUGUGUUGCCUGACCUAUGGAUCCUGCUGGUGAUCCCCUGAUGAAGUGGUCCUGGAAACGGACACGGGGAAAGAUGAACAUGGGUGGGGCUGCAUUUCCGGUGGCAUUUACUGCACAGGCCACAGUGACGAGCUCCCCUCUUUCAGCCGAUGUUACAGAACCCACUUGCUUCUUCCCCAUUUCUGUUAAAUUUUCUUCCGUGUCUGCACUGUUGUAACUGUCAGGGUUUGACACUUCCCCCAGUUUGAGUUUCAGUUCUGUCCCUCCUGUGUCCCAUCUGCCCUGAUUGUCUGCACCUGUGUCUCGUCGUGUCUCGUUAUCCCCUGUUAUAUCUGGUCUUGUCAUUCCCUUGUUCCCUGUCGGUCCGUACUGUUCUUCCCUCCAUGUUUCCCCUGGUUUUUUGGAUUCCUGUU